UACGUAGGGUGCAAGCGUUGUCCGGAAUUAUUGGGCGUAAAGAGCUCGUAGGCGGUCUGUCGCGUCGGAUGUGAAAACCCAGGGCUCAACCCUGGGCCUGCAUUCGAUACGGGCAGACUAGAGUUCGGUAGGGGAGACUGGAAUUCCUGGUGUAGCGGUGAAAUGCGCAGAUAUCAGGAGGAACACCGGCGGUGUAGACGGCUUACUGGACCAUGACUGACGCUGAGGCACGAAAGCGUGGGGAGCAAACAGG
rnacentral:rRNA from 1 species